rnacentral:lncRNA from 7 species
AUGACAAAAAGCAACCUUGCAGGAAUGGAGGAAUCUGUCCAGAGCUGUGCCCCUGCUUGCCACAGGAGCUGCGCGGAGGAGAAGAACGUGGGCCAAAAGGAAUGGAGGAAUCUGUCCAGAGCUGUGCCCCUGCUUGCCACAGGAGCUGCGCGGGAGGAGAAGAACGUGGGCCAAAAGGUAAGAGGAGCUCCUUUGGGUUCUGGGCUUGAAGCAAAGCUGAGAAGCCAUGCCCGGGAGGAGGUGUGGGUAGCUACAGGCCACCUUGCUAUCUCCCCAAGAGAUGAGGUGCGUGGGCUAGGCACCGGGCAGGAGUGCUGGCCAGAAGCAAGCAUCUCUGUGGAGGAAGGCAAAGGGCGGAGGAGGUUCAAGGGUAGCUACCGGGCAUGGCCUUGCUCAGCAAGGGGAGGAAAAGCCUGAAGGGCACGAGAAGGGGAUAGAGAAGGGCAGGCAGUAGGCGUGAAGCUGCGAGCAGAGUAGAGAGCAACUUGGCAGAGCAGCAAGCAGAGUAGGCAAGUGUUGAGGUUUGGCGUGAGUAGCAGCAAAAGCCCAGAGCAUCAAGAAGCAGGAAGUGAGGAGAAGGUAAGUGAAGGGCAGGCAAGGUAAUGGGAGGCAAAGGCAAGGGAAAAGGGGGGUAAGGGAGAAAGAAGGGAUGGGGAUGGGGAGGGGAUGGGUGAAGAGCAGAGCGGAGGGAAGGGCUGAGGGGAGGGCUGAAGGCAAACCUAUGAUGAAAAAGAAAAGAAAAAAUAAGAACAAAAAAUAUGAAAAAAAGAGAAAAAAAGAAAAGAAAAAAUAAGAAAAGAGAAAAAUGAAAAGAAAAAAGAAAAAAAUGAACAAAAAAGAGUAAAAAGAGAAAAAAAGAAAAAAGAGAAAAAAGAGAAAAGAAAAAAGAAAUGAACAAAAAGAGUAAAAAGAGAAAAAAAUGAAAAAAAGAAAAAGAGAAAAGAAAAAAAGAACAUGAACAAAAAGAAAAAAGAGAAAAGAUAAAAAAGAAAAAAGAAAAAAAAAGAAAAAAGAAAAUAGAAAUAAAAGAGGAAGAAAAAUAAAAAAAGAAAAGAAAAAAAGAAAAAAAAACAGUAGAUGAAAAAAAAAAACAAAAGGAAAAACGAAUAAUGACAAGAGAAGAAAGGUAAAGAGAAAAGAAGAAAAAAGCCAAGUCAAAAAGUAAAGAAUAACUCGAAGGAAGGAGUGGAUGGCAAGAAAUACAGAGAAAGCAGUGCAUAGCACAGCAGAGCAAAGCAAGGCAAAAUAGCAGCCAAAGCCACGAGAAUCAAGAAGUCAGUGAAGAGCAGGAAAGGUAAGUUCCCUUAAAGCAAGGGGGAA